ensembl:misc_RNA
UCGUACGCUGAGCUAUAAUUUAUGAAACUGAGCCCCAGAUCCAGCCAAUCACUUAGCUCCUCAUAACAAGUCCAACUGGCUCUGGAAAGCUGAAAGGGCUGCACUAGAACAACAAAGAUGAGAUAUUCUACACAACAAUCAGCUUAUCUGGAAUCCCUUUCCCUUGCAAGGCCAGAGAAAAAUCGCAGCUUCAUUGUCUGAAGGAAGAGGACUCAGGAAAAUGCAACUACACCUGAAGCAA